CACGUCAGGACGUACAGAUGGACCUCAAACAUCAGCAGGGGGCUGGCUUGUGAGGAAAUACAAGAGACAGCCAAGCUUCCUGACCCCAACUGCCACCACGAGCCGCAAAGGAUUGUGAGACGAACAUCUUCAGGACCUGAAAGGAAACGCUAGAACUGGGGGGACCAUAUAAUGAUGAAAAAGAAGACGAUCCACAGCAGAGCGGUAUAGCAGUAUCUAACUUCUUGACUGGUCCAUUCUGAGUUUAUGAAAGCCGAAUGAAUCUACUUACCUUUCCCACAUCUGAUGGAGCAGGUUGAAGACACACGGAGCAUGGCAAGUAAUCGGGAAACUAAAAAGGAAUUUUUAAAAAUUAAAGAAGCUCCCCAGACAAGCAGAGAUGUCAGCAGAGAGCACUGUUGCCAGACAGAAAAGAACAACUCAACUUCAGCAGCCGAUAAUUAUUGGAAGGAUUAAGAUUUUUUAAUAGAAGUCAUAUUCAAAUCUGUUUAACUUUCUGGAGCCAGUUGAUAUAUAAAAAAAAGUUUUUUCCUGGUAUACCCCUUUAAAGAUUGAAAUGUUAAAACCAGUAGUACAUAAUGUAAUGAACCACAUUCUGCAAAUGAAUAACUGAGAAUUAUGAAUGAAUGAAGUAAAUAAAUAAAGUGAAAAUAUCUACAUUGACUAGAGAUUCAGAACUAAAAAGCAUGCAAAUGUAAGGGAAUAUUCAGUGGUAAUAAACAAGCAAUUCAUUAACCAUUAUUAAUGAACCUACCGUAUUUUUCGUCCUAUAGGACGCACCGGCGUAUAAGACGCACCCAAU